rnacentral:rRNA from 1 species
GACGAACGCUGGCGGCGUGCUUAAUACAUGCAAGUCGAGCGAGCGGCGGACGGGUGAGUAAUGUCAGGGAAACUGCCCGAUGGGGGGGGAAAACUACUGGAAACGGUAGCGAAUACCGCAUACCAUGAGACGUGACCAGAUGGGAUUGGUUAGUAGGUGGGGUAACGGCUGACUUGGGCGACGCUCCCUAGUUGGUCUGAGAGGAUGACCAGCCACACUGGAACUGAGACACGGUCCAGACUCCUACGGGAGGCAGCAGUGGGGAAUAUUGCCCAAUGGGCGCAAGCCUGAUGCAGCCAUGCCGCGUGUGUGAAGAAGGCCUUCGGGUUGUAAAGCACUUUCAGCGGGGAGGCGUUACCCGCAGAAGAAGCACCGGCUAACUCCGUGCCAGCAGCCGCGGUAAUAC